rnacentral:rRNA from 1 species
GAUGAACGCUGGCGGCGUGCCUAAUACAUGCAAGUCGAGCGAACAGACGAGGAGCUUGCGCCGCUGACGUGAGCGGCGGACGGGUGAGAAACACGUGGAUAACCUACCUAUAAGACUGGGAUAACUUCGGGAAACCGGAGCUAAUACCGGAGAAGAUAUUGAACCGCGGGGGGCGAUAGUAAGAGACGGUGGUGGUGGCACGUAUAGAUGGAUCCCGGCCGCAUUAGCUAGUUGGUCAGUUAACGGCUUACCAAGGGAACUAGGCGUAGCCGAGUGCAGUGGCUGAUCGGCCACACUGGAGCUGAGCCACGGUCCAGACUACUACGAGAGGCACCAGUCGGGAAUCUUCCGCAACGGUCGAAAACAUGACGGAGCAACGCCGCGUGAGUGAUGACGGUCUCCCGAUCGUAAAAAUCUCUUAUUAGUUAUGAACCACUGUGUCCGUAACUAUGCCCGUCUUGACGGUAACUAAUCAGAAAGCCCCGGCUAACUACGUG